rnacentral:sRNA from 2 species
UGAGGGAUUCAGGGGGUGAAACGGUGGGGCUAGAGGUCUGUGGUUAGUUUGGGGAAUGGAUAAGAGCCAGGGAAGAUAGGAGGAAGAAUGGACAAUCUGGUAAGAAGAAGAAGAGGAAGAAAGGAACGAUACCUUGAAGGAUAUCUUGGUCUGAUGGGAGGGUUGCCUGGUUUCUGGUUUUGAUUUUGGCGCGAAAGGUUUGUUGCCGGGGAUAGGAAUCUAACAACACAACAAGAACACGACCGGUGAGCCAGCAGAGCCAGAAACAGACGAAGACAAGUAGGUAGAGAAGACAAAGUGAGAACAGAGGAAGAUGAAGAUGAGCUCGAGGUAAAGAAAAAUAAAGAAAAUAUAGAAGCACGAGGUCAAAGGGUGGUGGAGAAGAUAGCAGCAAAAUGCCACGUCAAAAUCGAGUGGUGGCGAAAUAAAGAGAGAGAGAGAGAGAGAAAGAAAGCAGAAGCAGGCUGGGGGAAAAGGGGUAUUUAUAUAUACGGGCAAGAUCAACCACCGUAAGCGAGGUGAGUGAAGAGUGAAUCGGGCAGCGGAUGGAACGUCCCAGCUCAGCAAAGGCGGUGGCUGGUUUGGUAUUCUGAAUGUCUGAAAAGGGGUUUCGUUGCUGUGGUGUGUUGUGUUGUGUUGUGUUGUGUUGUGUUGUGUUGAGUGAUAUCCCUCCUGUCCAUGAAGUGAAGCAACGGUGAUCACAUUUGUGUAAAUAAUAGGCUACGAUUGGGAUUAAAUUGAUACAUACACACAUAUGCACACACGGAUAAACAUGAGCAAUCAUGAUGCCAACCCAUUUGAAAUACACCCGAACCCUCGAAGCAAAAUGCCCAAUAUUUUUUGUAUUGCCCUUUGAGAGCCUCCGACGAAAGGAAGUAAGUAGAAAAUGAAGCACACAGAAAAAGAGAGAUUCCCUUUUGUUCAAACGCCCAUUCGUGACUCUCUGUUUCUCUAGCCCCAAGAGGAAACACCAGAAACCAAAAAGAGUAAAAUAAAAUAAAAUAAAAAUAUCAAAACUAACAAAGGGGAAAUGGAAAGUUAUCAGAUAGAAAAGGGAUUAAAUUACCAGACCAAAUCCCAAGGACCAUCGCCACACCAGGACGAAGGAAAACAAGCUA